CCCCUAAUUAUUAAUACUAACUAACCAAAAUAAAAACCCAACAAAAAAAUUAAUCAAGAGAAACAAAAACAUAUAAGAAUAUUUACUAAUUAAUUAAAGCAUAAAUAGAUUAAAAUUUAGGAUAACAUAAUUUCAAAUUUAGGGACAGUAUCCAACUUUGAAAUCGAAUCGAAUUUUGGGGUAUUUUGCUGUUGCUACCACCAUUAUGAGGAUAUCACCACCGUCGGAUUGGGUGAAGGUUGGUUAAUAGGAUUUGGGGAUUUAGGGUUUGACAUAUGAAGAAAUGAGCUAAAACUCAUUUGGGAGAGGGGAGGAAGUUUGCUGCUAUGCUUUUGCGCCUUUGUUAAAACAGAGGCUGUUCUAUAAUAUAUAUAUUUUUAAAUCUGAGCCAAAACAACGUUGUUUUAGC
rnacentral:lncRNA from 1 species